rnacentral:rRNA from 1 species
UGGGGGAUAUUGCACAAUGGGCGAAAGCCUGAUGCAGCGACGCCGCGUGGGGGAUGAAGGCCUUCGGGUUGUAAACUUCUUUUGCUCUGAACAAGGCGCACCAUGGGGUGUGUUGAGUGUAGGGGUUGAUUAGCGCCGGCUAACUACGUGCCAGCAGCCGCGGUAAUACGUAGGGCGCGAGCGUUGUCCGGAAUUAUUGGGCGUAAAGGGCUUGUAGGUGGCUGGUUGCGUCUGUCGUGAAAGCUCAUGGCUUAACUGUGGGUUUGCGGUGGGUACGGGCUGGCUUGAGUGCAGUAGGGGAGGCUGGAAUUCCUGGUGUAGCGGUGGGAUGCGCAGAUAUCAGGAGGAAUACCGGUGGCGAAGGCGGGUCUCUGGGCUGUUACUGACACUGAGGAGCGAAAGCAUGGGGAGCGAACAGG